UUAGCCUUGAGAUCCAUCAUUGUGUACA
rnacentral:piRNA from 1 species